rnacentral:rRNA from 1 species
GAUGAACGCUAGCGGCAGGCUUAACACAUGCAAGUCGAGGGGUAGAGGCCUUCGGGCCUUGAGACCGGCGCACGGGUGCGUAGCGCGUAUGCAAUCUGCCUUUCACAGAGGGAUAGCCCAGAGAAAUUUGGAUUAAUACCUCAUAGCAUCAUGUAAGGGCAUCCUUUCAUGAUUAAAGUCACAACGGUGAAAGAUGAGCAUGCGUCCCAUUAGCUAGUUGGCAAGGUAACGGCUUACCAAGGCGACGAUGGGUAGGGGUCCUGAGAGGGAGAUCCCCCACACUGGUACUGAGACACGUACCAGACUCCUACGGGAGGCAGCAGUGAGGAAUAUUGGUCAAUGGGCGCAAGCCUGAACCAGCCAUGCCGCGUGCAGGAUGACGGUCCUAUGGAUUGUAAACUGCUUUUGUACGGGAAGAAACACUCCGACGUGUCGGAGCUUGACGGUACCGUAAGAAUAAGGAUCGGCUAACUCCGUGCCAGCCGCCGCGGUAACAC